GAAAAUCCCCCUGCUCCCACCACAUGUCGGCAUUUCAGCUCCAGAGAAUGUUUUCUGUGCGUAAGAACUUCCACAGUCUGUGGGCACCUCGUCGGCACAGCGUGGGUUUGUCCACCUUUAAUCAGUGUGCAGGCAGGAGAAAGGCUGCCCACCCCCGUGUGUGGGUUGGUGCGCUGGCUCUUCGGGAAUGUCAGUAAGCCUGUGCUGGACAGGUCAGCCAGCUCCGCAUCCCAGUCUUUGGGAAGUCUCCAGGGCUGCCGAGUAUAAGGAUAAAGUUCUGUAAAAGGAGUCAUUGCGUGAAGAGCAAGUACUGCACUACGUUUGUGUUGCACGGGGGCUGCAGGCUGACAGUGCACCCAAGAACCACAGCUACAACCAGGCAUUGAUUUGUUUCCUGCUAGAGUGCUGUAAAACAUUCUCAAGAAAUGGAAGAAGAUAAAGGGCAGAGUGCUAAAGCUACCAGUGUGGUAGGUGACUUGAGGAAAAGUUGGCAAACCUGGGCAGAGGAUCACACUGAAUAUCAGAGAAAGAACCCGUUCAGCAACGACAACCGGCUUGCAGCUAAACUGGUGCAUACUCACAGAGGAGACCCUACCUACGGGAGACCCCCUGAAGGCUCCCAGACUGAGCAGAGAGGGAAAGAUGCUCACUCACACGUGGGAAAGGAAGUAGAAGAGCUGUGCUUGAUCAUUAGGAGCACUGGAGAGGUGGGAGAAGAUGGACACACAAAGCAUACAACAGAAGCAGAAAUCAACGAUUUCUUUAAACAGCAGACACCUUUUCACAUCAAACUCCCAUUAGGUGAUCAGAAGACGAACCAGAACCUAGGAAUGUCAGAGGACGUUUGAGCAAAUAAAUAGCAGAUAAAGCAGUGUGGUGUCAAAGAACUCAGAAGACAACAGUGGUCUGAACAACCAAGCUGUGAGACCUGGAGUUCUUUGGGAGAUGCUCCAAAACAGCGUGUUGUGACCUCUCAUCACCCAACAAGCUGCA